rnacentral:ncRNA from 1 species
AGGGAAGCCGGCGACCGAAGCCCCGGUGAACGGCGGCCGUAACUAUAACGGUCCUAAGGUAGCGAAAUUCCUUGUCGGGUAAGUUCCGACCCGCACGAAAGGCGUAACGAUCUGGGCACUGUCUCGGAGAGAGGCUCGGUGAAAUAGACAAGUCCGUGAAGAUGCGGACUACCUGUACCUGGACAGAAAGACCCUAUGAAGAGAUCGGAAGAGCGUCG